CCAGACUCCUACGGGAGGCAGCAGUGAGGAAUAUUGGUCAAUGGGCGGAAGCCUGAACCAGCCAAGUCGCGUGAGGGACUAAGGCCCUGCGGGUCGUAAACCUCUUUUGCCGGGGAGCAGUGGUCCGGACGCGUCCGGACCGGGAGAGUACCCGGAGAAAAAGCAUCGGCUAACUCCGUGCCAGCAGCCGCGGUAAUACGGAGGAUGCGAGCGUUAUCCGGAUUUAUUGGGUUUAAAGGGUGCGUAGGCGGGGCUUUACGGCGGGCGGAAAAUGGGGGGGCCCAACCCCGGGCCCGCCGUUGAAACUGGCAGUCUCGAGUUGGAGAGAAGUAUGCGGAAUGCGCGGUGUAGCGGUGAAAUGCAUAGAUAUCACGCAGAACUCCGAUUGCGAAGGCAGCAUACCGGCGCCCAACUGACGCUGAAGCACGAAAGCGUGGGUAUCGAACAGGAUUAGAUACCCCUGUA
rnacentral:rRNA from 1 species